UGGAGGGAAGACAGGCGAGUUUUCUAGGUAGCAGGGAACAGUGAGCUUGGAAGCAGGAAGAAGCAGGGUGCUGGGAGUUUGGGGGCGGGAACAGAGGUCCGCCUGCAGCGUGGGAGUCCGUCUACGGAUUCCACAGAAGGAAAUGAGAGGAACUGAAAAUGAGACAGUAAGAAGCCCACGUGGGAGGCCCAGUCUAGGGGCCUGGAUUGGGUGUGAGAGAUGAUAAGGAUCAUAACAAACAACACAGUAGUUCAAGGUAGUGCCCGUGACUACGAUCGUUCCCAAGAGAACUGAAGCCAGGAAGGGUGUGGAGAAAGCAUGGCUUCAAUCACCAGGCCCUGGAAAUGUGCUGGAGGUGGGACACCAAAAGGAACCGAAAAGCCAGUCCUGUCAACCUCAACAGUGAUGAAUCAUGCUGAUAGUACAUGCCCUGGAUGUGGUGUGAAGGAAAUAGCACGCUACCUCUGUGAUCUCCUCCCCAAAACCCAAGAGCCCAGUCUAAUCAUGAGAAAAACCCCAGGCAAGUCCCAGCUGAGCAGCCACAAUGCCCCU